AGGGCACCACCAGGAGUGGAGCCUGCGGCUUAAUUUGACUCAACACGGGAAAACUCACCCGGCCCGGACACUGGAAGGAUUGACAGAUUGAGAGCUCUUUCUUGAUUCAGUGGGUGGUGGUGCAUGGCCGUUCUUAGUUGGUGGAGUGAUUUGUCUGGUUAAUUCCGAUAACGAACGAGACUCUAGCCUACUAAAUAGAUCGUCGGCUUACAAACGCCGGCGAGACUUCUUAGAGGGACAGGCGGUGAUUCAACCGCACGAAACAGAGCAAUAACAGGUCUGUGAUGCCCUUAGAUGUCCGGGGCCGCACGCGCGCUACACUGAAGUGAUCAGCGUGCAUUUGUUCUUGCUCCGGGAGGAGCGAGUAACCCAAGGAACCUUCUUCCUGAUAGGGAUUGGGCAUUGGAAUUAUUGCCCAUGAACGAAGAAUUCCCAGUAAGCGCGAGUCAUUAGCUUGCGUUGAUUACCUCCCUGCCCUUUGGACACACCGCCCGUCGCUACUACCGAAUGAAUGAUAGA
rnacentral:rRNA from 1 species